rnacentral:snRNA from 1 species
GAGUGUGUUGAGGAUCUUUCCACAUCAGUUACCCUCCUAAUGGCUGGAGUUGACUCGGCUGAUGGGGAUGGCUAAGUGGUGUCCCCUUCCUUUUUCACUACUCCAUGGACAUCCCUCCUAAAACGAAGUGCUUUUGGAUGCAGAGGACAGCCCCAUCGAAGUUGUUUUGUCAAGAGAAAUUGAUAGCUACACUCUGCUAUUUGAAUCUUCAAAUUUAACACUUGCUUUUCUGUGCUUUCUCUUUGUUUCUCUUAAAAAUAUUAUAUAUGAUAACACAUUUGGAAAG